rnacentral:lncRNA from 1 species
ACCACAACCACGACCACGACCACGACCACCACCACAACCACAACCACGACCACGACCACGACAACGACAACGACAACGACAACGACAACGACAACGACAACGACAACGACACCGACAACGACAACGACAACAACAACCACAACAACAACAACAACAACAACAACCACAACAACCACAACAACAACAACAACCACAACAACCACAACCACAACAACAACAACAACAACAACAACAACAACAACAAC